GACGAACGCUGGCGGCGUGCUUAACACAUGCAAGUCGAACGGAAAGGCCCUGCUUUUGUGGGGUGCUCGAGUGGCGAACGGGUGAGUAACACGUGAGUAACCUGCCCUUGACUUUGGGAUAACUUCAGGAAACUGGGGCUAAUACCGGAUAGGAGCUCCUGCUGCAUGGUGGGGGUUGGAAAGUUUCGGCGGUUGGGGAUGGACUCGCGGCUUAUCAGCUUGUUGGUGGGGUAGUGGCUUACCAAGGCUUUGACGGGUAGCCGGCCUGAGAGGGUGACCGGCACAAUUGGAGGAUGGAGACGAAGCAGCCGCCAGCGGGAGGGGGCAGGAGGGAAAAUGGCAGAGGGUGCGGAGGCCUGAGCGAGCAACGGCGGGGGGGUGAUGCCGCCCUGUGGGUUGCAAAACUCUUUCGCCGGUGAAGAAGUGUAGGUGACAGUAAUGGGACAGGAAGCACCGUCCAACUACGUGCCAGCAGCCGCGUAAUAAGAGGAAGAGCACUGGGUAAUC
rnacentral:rRNA from 1 species